GAACAUCAUCAAUAAUACCCAAUGGUCUUUUCGUAGUUCUAUCCGUCAUUUGCAGUCUCAUGGAAGUUGGCCUCGGCUGUCCAAUACCAAAAGUCUUAAAAACAUAUUAGGGAAUCAAGUUUAUACUUGCCCCCAAAUCACAUAGAACCUUAGAAAAGUCUGCACUGCCAAUGGUGCAAGGAAUGGUGAAAGCACCAGGAUCUUCUAGCUUCGGGUCCAUUGAGUGGACAAUUAUACUAACUUGGUAGAUCAUCUUGAUCGUUUCACAAUCCAUGGAUCUUUUCUUUUUCACCAAGUCCUUCAUAAAUUUAGCAUAGCCCCGCAUUUGUUCUAGAGCCUCUACCAAAUGUACAUUAACGGAUAAACUCUUCAUUAUGUCAAUAAACUUUUUAAACAGAUUCUCGUUUUCUGCUUGGCGAGCCUUUGAGGAUAAGGUGGAGGUGGACUUGGCAAAGGAGCCUUGUCCUUAGGCACAAACGGCUCCGACAUGUCUAUUACAUAAUCCCUAGACGGGUUCACGUCAUUCUGAGUCUCCACCUCGGCAUCUUGAAUAUCAAUCCUCACUUCUUUAUUCAUGUUCUCAUCAAUCAUAGUUUCAACCACCAAAGGAACUUCAUCUUCUUCCAGCUCAACGUCAUCACUCAAUAUUUACUUUUGUUUGGAGCCAUUCACAUCACCACCUCGUCCACUCCUUGUGGUUACCGCCAUAACAUGAUUGUUCCCACCUUUCGGGUUAACUAUCGUAUCACUUGGUAGAGCCCACAUAGGGAGAGUAUUCAAGGAUUAUGAGAUUUGGCCUAAUUGAACCUCCAAAUUUCUAAUUGAAAUAUUGAGGGAAGCCAACUAAGCAACAGAAUCCACAUUCCUUUUCAUCAUCUGUUCAAACAUCAUUUCAAUUCUUCCCAUUUUAUUGUUGGAAGAAUUGGGCCUUUAGGAUGGAAAUGAGGGUGGAUUUUUGGUUGUUGAUACAUUGGGGGCCUUUGAAAGCCUUGCCCCUGAUUUCCUUGAUUGCCAUUGUUCUAACCUCCUGAUUGUUGUUACCACCCCAGUUGUUGUUGUUGCUAUUCCAAUUACCUUGAUUAUUCUGAUUGCCCCAAUUAAAAUUUUUGUUGUUGUUUCCCCAAUUACUAUUCCCUUGUUGUUGUUGAUUUCCCCAAUUGCCUUGGUGCCUCCAUUGUUCUUGGUAAGAAGAAUUUCCCCUUUGGUUUCUGAU
rnacentral:lncRNA from 1 species